GACGAACGCUGGCGGCGUGGAUUAGGCAUGCAAGUCGAACGGUAGGAUACCUUCGGGUAUCUGAGAGUGGCAACGGGUGAGUAACACGUAGGUGAUCUACCCUCAAGAUUGGGACAACCCAGGGAAACUUGGGCUAAUACCGGAUGAAAGCAGCAGUGAUGUUGUUUGAAAGGUGGCGUAAGCUGCCGUUUGGGGAUGAGCCUGCGCUCUAUUAGUUAGUUGGCGGGGUAAAGGCCCACCAAGGCGAUGAUAGAUAGGCGGCCUUAACGGGUGGUCGCCCACACUGGGAUUGAGAUACGGCCCAGACUCCUACGGGAGGCAGCAGUCGAGAAUAGUCUACAAUGGCCGAAAGGCUGAUAGUGCGACGCCGCGUGAACGAAGAAGCCCUUCGGGGUGUAAAGUUCUUUUAUAUGUGAGCAGUGCUUUCUAUGUGAACAGCAUGGGGAGAGAGAUAUUAGCAUAUGAAUAAGCAACGGCUAACUCCGUG
rnacentral:rRNA from 1 species